ensembl:ncRNA F13H6.16 ncRNA
AGUUUCACGUACGAGAAAAAGAAAGGCGCCGAGUUUCAAGAGUCUAUCUCGCAGUGAGUUGGUGCGUUGCGUUGCGCAGCGCCCUGUCUCAACCCACAAAAUUCUUCUCAAAUUGCUGGUCAAAACUGGUCCACUCGUUGGUACAUAGGCAAACUUCGUCUCUCUGAUCUCAGUUAUCUAUGCAAACGUGGUAACUCUGUGUCUCUUCACGCACACACAGU